UAGGUAGUAGGCGGGGUAACGGCCCACCUAGCCGACGAUGGAUAGGGGUUCUGAGAGGAAGGUCCCCCACAUUGGAACUGAGACACGGUCCAAACUCCUACGGGAGGCAGCAGUGAGGAAUAUUGGUCAAUGGGCGAGAGCCUGAACCAGCCAAGUAGCGUGAAGGAUGAAGGUCCUACGGAUUGUAAACUUCUUUUAUACGGGAAUAAAGUAUCCUACGUGUAGGAUUUUGUAUGUACCGUAUGAAUAAGCAUCGGCUAACUCCGUGCCAGCAGCCGCGGUAAUACGGAGGAUGCGAGCGUUAUCCGGAUUUAUUGGGUUUAAAGGGAGCGCAGACGGGAGACUAAGUCAGUUGUGAAAGUUUGCGGCUCAACCGUAAAAUUGCAGUUGAUACUGGUUUCCUUGAGUGCAGUUGAGGCAGGCGGAAUUCGUGGUGUAGCGGUGAAAUGCUUAGAUAUCACGAAGAACCCCGAUUGCGAAGGCAGCUUGCUAAACUGUAACUGACGUUCAUGCUCGAAAGU
rnacentral:rRNA from 1 species